rnacentral:misc_RNA from 1 species
UGUGAAGAGAAACCAUAUGAAUAUGAAAGAAAAGGUGAGGAAAUUUGAAACCUGCUGCUUCAGAGAAAAUUGUUGAUGAAAAUUUAAGAUACAGUCAAAUUAUAAUGCGAAGGCUACUACGUAGGGGACCUGUAUCUCCUACUGCUCCUGCUGCUUGUUCAACUCUUCCUAAAGGUGCCAAUAUUAGAAUUCCUAUUCACUUGGCUUUCUCAUCAGAUGAUUUCGAUCACCAUAGACUUAAGCAGAUAAGCUAGUCCUAUGAUUGUCAAUUUUAUCUUUACUUCCUUUCAGUGAAGCAAACUUUUCAGCCUCAGCUUCGAUAGAAAAUGAAUGAGAUUGAACCCACAACAAUUAAGAUCAAGACCAGCAACUUCUUGAUCAAUAAUCUGCACAAUCAUAGUUAGUUUUCAAUAGUUAAUUGAUCUUUAUGAGCG